rnacentral:rRNA from 1 species
CUACGGGAGGCAGCAGUGGGGAAUCUUGCACAAUGGGCGAAAGCCUGAUGCAGCAACGCCGCGUGCGGGAAGAAGGCCCUAGGGUUGUAAACCGCUUUCAGUAGGGAAGAAAAUGACGGUACCUACAGAAGAAGGUGCGGCCAACUACGUGCCAGCAGCCGCGGUGACACGUAGGCACCAAGCGUUAUCCGGAUUUAUUGGGCGUAAAGAGCUCGUAGGCGGUUUGGUAAGUCGGGUGUGAAAACUCUGGGCUCAACCCAGAGAGGCCACCCGAUACUGCUAUGACUAGAGUACGGUAGGGGAGCGGGGAAUUCAUGGUGUAGCGGUGAAAUGCGCAGAUAUCAUGAGGAACACCAGCGGCGAAGGCGCCGCUCUGGGCCGUAACUGACGCUGAGGAGCGAAAGCGUGGGGAGCAAACAGGAUUAGAAACCCUGGUAGUCC